AAAAUAAAUAUAUUCUUUUAUAAAUAAAAUUUAAAUUAGUUUUUAAUUAUUUAUGAAAAAUUAUGUGCCAGCUUUCGCGGUUAAACAUAAGUAAAAAAAUAAUUUUAUAAUUAUAUUAUUAAAAUAAUUAAUAAAAUAAACUUAAGAAUGAAAUCUUAGAUUUAUUUAUAUAUUAAGUUAAAUUUAUAGUUAAGUUAAACUGGGAUUAGAUACCCUAUUAUUAAAUUUAAUUAAGAAAUUUUUAGCUCUAAAGAAUAUGGCGGUAUUUUAUUCUAUUUAGAGGAACCUGUUUACUAAAUGAUAACCCACGAAGUAUCUUUCCUUUUUUAGUUAACAUUUUUUAUAUAGUUGUUAAAAAUAUUUUUAAAAUUAUAUAUUACAAUAAUUUUAAAUUAAAAUUAAAAUAACAGAUAAAUAUAUAGAUUAUAGAAAGGAAUUGAAAAUGGGUUACAUUUAAUUUAUUUAUCUUAAAAUAUAUUUAUCUAUAUAAUAAAGUAGGAUUUAAUAGUAAAAUAAAUUUUAAUAAGAUUAUUUAAUAUAAGUUAUAAAAUAUGCACAAAUCGCCCGUCACUCCUAAAGGAUAAGUCGUAACAAAGUAGAAUAAUCGGAAAAUCUUU
rnacentral:rRNA from 1 species